UCGCCCUCGUAGCAGCGUGUUCGUGAAACUAGCAGGCGGUGGUUUGCAUAUUUUGCAAGCGGAAAGCUUACCCCAUGCCGAAAGGAAAGACAGUUUUGACAGUUGAAUAGAAUAGCGCGUAGAAGUUUUGCCUACAGUUGUUUUGUACAUGUUUUCUUCUUUUUUUGUUGUUGUUUCGUCUAUUCAUUCAAAAUGGUAACACCGUGCUAGAAUGAUUUUCCAUCGAUGUGCUUUCGUGUGCCAUGUGGACAAACAUUGGAUACCUAUUGGUCCGUUAUAGUCCUAGCUUCACUACACUUUUGUGUUUACGUGUGACCUAAUUUGUUUAGCGAGGAGUUUAGGUGUUCCUUGCUAUAGAAAUGUGCCUCUUGAAAAGCGACCGCUUGAUGAGUGGGUUACCCAUUGCAAAAAUAAUUGCCGGAAUGGUCAUUAGGCUUGGCAUAGGUGCCAUGCAGGAAAGUGAUUUCCUCACUCUUCAUGAUUUUUAUUGUAUGUGUUUUGGAGCUUUCGAGGCUUAUGUCAUGCACGUUGGAACUAACUUUGUGGUUUGAAAAAAAAAAAAAAGAUUCAAAGCUCCAACGCUGUUCCUUAUUUGCAAGAAGGUACAAACAUACAACAUUUCAUACACUAAGCCAAUCGCAAUUUGAAUAGAUUAUUCCUUAUCAUCGCAAAUUGAUGCUCGACUAUCGUUUGAAUUAUAUAUAAUUAUGAUGAUAAAGUCACCGAGGCUACGAAUUAGUAAAAGUGGGCGCAAACUCGCAGCAAGAUACUUAUCAGUACAUGCUUGUCUAGCAGGAGGAACACCCUUAAGGGCGCUCUUUGAAAUGUAAUGCUUCAUAGGUUCAAGCAGGUCUAUUUUGAGUGAUGAUUAGCAUACUGUUGAUAUAGUUCUGCGAUAGGUAACCAUCACCGUGUUGUCGGCAGCGCUGUUUUCCCUAUUGGUUUGUUCUCCCUUUUCUGCCAUUUCUUUCUGUGUUAAGGUUUUAAUAAGCGUCAAUAAUAAUUUUCACAUAUAAAAGCAAGAUAAUAAUGCCA